GCUACACUAUAGGGUAUUAUGGCCGCAUAUUUGAAGCUCGAAACAAGACCAAAGGCGGUUCCUUUGUGGUACAUAAUGCUUCCCAUCCUAAUUCUGAAUGUCAUUUUAAAUUAGUUGAUUAUUUCAUGAUAUUAUCUGGGUUUAAAACAUGCAGGGAGAUGACAAAGACUUCUUCAAAUUUAGACUUGGAUCCCAAGAAGUGAGUAGUUGGUUUUGCUGAAUCAGAUAAUAGUGUUCUCCAUACAACUCAUGAAUGUUAAAGAUAAUAUAGUUCUAAUUCACCUUUUUCUUGUUUUUGUGAUCUAAGCAAAUAAUUUAGUUUUAAGGAUUUAUGAUUGUCU
rnacentral:lncRNA from 1 species